UACGUAGGGGCGAGCGUUGUCCCGGAUUUACCUGGGCGUAAAGGGUGAGUAGGCGGUUGUAUAUGUCAGGUGUAAAAGGCUAUGGCUUAACCAUGGUUAGCACUUGAAACUGUACAACUUGAGUGCAGGAGAGGUAAGUGGAAUUCCUAGUGUAGCGGUGAAAUGCGUAGAUAUUAGGAGGAACACCAGUGGCGAAGGCGACUUACUGGACUGUAACUGACGCUGAGUCACGAAAGCGUGGGUAGCAAACAGGAUUAGAUACCCUGGUAGUCCCU
rnacentral:rRNA from 1 species